UUUUGACCUCGGAUCAGGUAGG
rnacentral:rRNA from 1 species